GCAGUCGGACGGUCUGUCGCUAGUAUAUGCUGGUAGACAUCGAGCUACAACGGUAUGCGAGAGGAAAGUCCGGGCAGCACAGAGCAUUCCACUUCCUAAUAUAGAAGCAAUCCGCGAGGGUUGAGUAAUGCAGAAGAAAACAACCGCCCCGUCGGGGUAAGGGUGAGAAGGUGGGGUAAGAGCCCACCAGCGCCUGUGGUGACACAGUGGCUGUGUGUCUUGGAAGCUGCAAGUUCAUGUAUAGUAGCGCCUGAGGGCUGCUCGUCCGAGCUACAGGGUAGAACGCUAGAGUUGUGUGGUGACAUACAACCAGGAUAAAUGACAGACCAUCACAUUCGAGUGAUGACAGAACCCGGCUUAUAGGCUGGCUGCUUUC
rnacentral:RNase_P_RNA from 1 species